ACUCAAAUGAAUUGACGGGGGCCCGCACAAGCGGUGGAGCAUGUGGUUUAAUUCGACGCAACGCGAAGAACCUUACCGGGGCUUGACAUCGGAGGAACAUCCUAGAAAUAGGGUUUCGGAGCAAUCCGACUUCCAGACAGGUGCUGCAUGGCUGUCGUCAGCUCGUGCCGUGAGGUGUUGGGUUAAGUCCCGCAACGAGCGCAACCCUCGUCGUGUGUUGGUCCGUAAGGAUCUCUCACGCGAGACCGCCGGUGAGAAGCCGGAGGAAGGUGGGGAUGACGUCAAGUCAGCAUGGCCCUUACGUCCCGGGCUACACACGUGCUACAAUGGGUAGGACAACGAGUCGCAAACUAGUGAUAGUAAGCUAAUCUCUUAAACCUACCCUCAGUUCGGAUUGAAGGCUGCAACUCGCCUUCAUGAAGUCGGAAUCGCUAGUAAACGCAGAUCAGCUACGCUGCGUUGAAUACGUUCCCGGGCCUUGUACACACCGCCCGU
rnacentral:rRNA from 1 species